GAAAGCACUCCAAGAGGCACAACCAGCAGACUCUUGAUGACCUUCAGGCAGAGGAAGACAAAGUCAACACUCUGACUAAAGCUAAGACAAGCUUGAGCAGCAAGUGGACGAUCUUGAGGGCUCAUUGGAGCAAGAGAAGAAACUUCGUAUGGACCUUGAGAGAGUCAAGAGGAAGCUUGAGGGUGAUCUGAAACUGGCCCAGGAGUCCAUAAUGGACCUGGAGAAUGAAAAA